rnacentral:rRNA from 1 species
UACAGAGACUGCGAGCGUUAUUCGGAUUCACUGGGCGUAAAGGGUGCGCAGGCGGCCAAGUGUGUGAGGCGUGAAAGCCCGGGGCUUAACCCCGGAAUUGCACCUCAAACUACAUGGCUAGAGCAUUGGAGAGGGAAGCGGAAUUCCCGGUGUAGUGGUGAAAUGCGUAGAUAUCGGGAGGAACACCAGUGGCGAAGGCGACUAUCUGGGGUGCAACUGACGCUGAGGCGCGAAGGCUAGGGUAGCAAACAGG